AUUGAACGCUGGCGGCAGGCUUAACACAUGCAAGUCGAGCGAGCGGCGGACGGGUGAGUAAUGUCUGGGAAACUGCCUGAUGGAGGGGGAUAACUACUGGAAACGGUAGCUCAUACCGCAUACCAUCAGAUGGGCCCAGAGGGGAUUAGCUCGUAGGUGGGGUAAAGGCUAACCUAGGCGACGAUCCCUAGCUGGUCUGAGAGGAUGACCAGCCACACUGGAACUGAGACACGGGCCAGCCUCCUACGGUAGGCAGCAGUGGGGAAUAUUGCACAAUGGGCGCAAGCCUGAUGCAGCCAUGCCGCGUGUGUGAAGAAGGCCUUCGGGUUGUAAAGCACUUUCAGCGAGGAGGCGUUACUCGCAGAAGAAGCACCGGCUAACUCCGUGCCAGCAGCCGCGGUAAUAC
rnacentral:rRNA from 1 species